GACGAACGCUGGCGGCGUGCUUAACACAUGCAAGUCGAACGAUGAAGCCUUAGCUUGCUUUGGUGGAUUAGUGGCGAACGGGUGAGUAACACGUGAGCAACGUGCCCAGGACUCUGGAAUAACCGCGGGAAACCGUGGCUAAUACCGGAUAGGUGCCGAGGCCGCAUGGUCUUCGGUUGGAAAGUUUUUGCGGUUCUGGAUCGGCUCACGGCCUAUCAGCUUGUUGGUGGGGUAAUGGCCUACCAAGGCGACGACGGGUAGCCGGCCUGAGAGGGUGACCGGCCACACUGGGACUGAGACACGGCCCAGACUCCUACGGGAGGCAGCAGUGGGGAAUAUUGCACGAUGGGCGCAAGCCUGAUGCAGCAACGCCGCGUGGGGGAUGACGGCCUUCGGGUUGUAAACCUCUUUUAGUAGGGAAGAAGCGAAAGUGACGGUACCUGCAGAAAAAGCACCGGCUAACUACGUG
rnacentral:rRNA from 1 species